UACGAGAGGCCCAAACGUUAUUCGGAAUUACUGGGCUUAAAGAGUUCGUAGGCGGCGCAGAAAGUAGGGUGUGAAAGCCCUCGGCUCAACCGAGGAAUUGCGCUCUAAACUACUGUGCUUGAGGAAGCUAGAGGUGAGCAGAACAGAUGGUGGAGCGGUGAAAUGCGUUGAUAUCAUCUGGAAUACCGGAGGCGAAGGCGGCUCACUGGGGCUUUUCUGACGCUGAGGAACGAAGGCCAGGGUAGCGAACGGG
rnacentral:rRNA from 1 species